AUUAUUUAAUAAGAAUCAUAGUUUGAAUAUUGCAAAGGAUAUGUUUUACCCAUCUUUGCAUGCUUAUAAGUGUAUAUAUGUGGACGUAUUUAUGUAUAUGCACUAAAAUUACGUUAUGGUUUACUUAAAAUAUAUGUACAGCUAUAGAUAAACAGAGGAAUAUUUAAAAAAGAGGAAAUAUAAGAGAGAAAUUGUAGAUUUGUUAUAGCUGUGCGCUUGCAUGUAUAUAUAUAUGUAAGACAUACAUAUAAACACGUACAUACGUAUAAAUAAAAAAAUAAAAAUAAAAAAAGGCACAUAUAUAAAUACAUAUGUAAGCACCUUUGUGAACACACAUGGCCCCUCAAUAAAAACAUUGAACAAAAAAAAAAAAAAAUGAACGAUUUUCCUAAUGAAUCAAAAGUGAAUGAAAUUUUGAAACUUAAUAGGAAUAGUUUGGUUAACAACAACAACCUUAGUAAAGAUAACAGACUAAAAGAGUUUGAAAUAAAUAACAAAAUAAGAAAUGUGUGUUUAGGUAUUCCAACUAAGGAUGAAGAUGUAAAGAAUGUGUUUAGAUUAUUGAAGGAACCUAUUUGUUUAUUUGGUGAAGACAGUUAUGACAAAAGAAAAAGGUUAAAAAAAGUAAUAGUUACAAAAUUUGAUAAAUUAGUAGCAAAAAGAAAAAAUGAUGAUGAUAAAGUUAAUACUAAUGACGAUGAUAAUGAUGAUGAAAAUAAAAAAGAAAUAGAAGAGUUUAAAAAAAUUUUAAUUAAAUAUUAUAUAGACUUAAGUAAAUUAUAUGAUUCUGAUUUGCCAGACUAUUUAAAUAUAAAUGAAUUACAAAAAGAAUUAAAAAACAAACAAGUACAUCAUGACAUGAUUAGCAGUGGUAGUAUUCCGAUAUCAGAAAUUACAGAUGGGAUAUAUGAAAAAAAAAAAUUUUAUACUGAAAGUACAGAAGAGCUAAAAAGUGCACGUCUUGAAAUAACAUUAAAAACAUUGCCUAGGAUAUUUUUAUUUAAAAAUAUGAUAAAUAAAUUUCAAAAAAAGUAUACAAAAGCAGAAUAUGAAAACUCAAUUAAUAUAUUCAAUAAACAUAUGAAAAACGAAUUAGAUUUAUAUAUUUUACAAAUAGGUGAUGAUAGACCUUUAACUAUGGGUAAAUUUUCACCGGAUAAUAG
rnacentral:lncRNA from 1 species